UGGGAGUGUAUGGAUGAAGAGUCGUUGGAAACGGAGCGAUUAAUUCAUGAGAAUGGGGGUAGUCAUGUUCUCUCUCUUUGAAAUGUUUCCUGAGGCUAUGGUCUUGGGAGAGGAGCUAGUGAAAUUCAGCAGUUUUAUAGGUGUAAAGUGUGGUUUGAUCGCCCUCACUGGAAUGCCGAGAGACACUGGAUGAUGAUUUUAAUAUUGAUUUAAAGAUUGGGUCUGCUGGAUGAUCAGGAUAACUUCCUGACUCUGUGACUGAUCCUAUGAGUCUGCAAUGAGGUUGACGGUGUGAUAAGGGAGUAUAAGCUAAUUUGAAAAAUUGUUUAAACAGAAUAUGUUUUUUGUUUUUUUACAUGUGUUUUAGAGAUUUGCAUUAAGAAUAUUGGUAGUAGUAAUAAUUUGUCAUACAGAAGAUCAUUUGUUUGGAUUUCUUGAAUCAGAAAUUAACCGAACUGAAUUGUUGUUUUGAUCUGUCAUUUCUUGAGGUUAUGGUGGAGAUGGUAUCUAAAUGCAUGGGAAGAAUAAUUUUACCAAACGGUGUGGACCUCAAAACCCCCUCUAACCUGCUGAAGAAAUGGCAUUCACUACGGCCCUGUCUUGCACCACUUCUAUCGAGAGACCUGAGUCCAAGCCAGCAACUGGUGAACAGCAUCCAGUUGAAGUUAUCAACUGCCUUUUCUCUCUGGAGUGCAACAGAAGUCCACGUGGAGUGAGCAUGGAGAGAGAGAUCCGUCCCAAAACUUCUCUCAUAUUGCUGGUAUACUGGUUGGCGAAUGGACAAGACAUAAUGAGUUGUGGUGGGGUUCAGGUGAGACGUUGAAAUUGUGACAUUAUCAUGGGCCAUCCACUUUGAAGCUAUCUGAAGAAGAAGAAGAAAAAUGAAGAAAUGCCAGAAGAUUGAGUGCCGGAGAAGGGAGGGGUUUGGCCAACUGUGCCUGUAAUUGAUUUAGACUUGGAGGUUCACACUGCUAAAAGUAUAAUGAUUUAGGCAAAUAAUGCAUUGAGAUACUGAUAUGUAAUUAUAACCCUGAUGAGGAACUUAAUACUAGAAUUAUGAGAUUAAUAUAUUGUAUGGUUAAUAUAAAUGUACAUUCUGUCAGUAUUGAUGUAUGUUAAGUUGAGGGUUUUCAUUUUGAGUGAUAGAACCAAUGUGAAUCACUGAGCAAUGUCAUUCUGGAUUUUGGUUGGAUAGUUAAUUGGGUUUUGAUUAUGAUUUGGGAACUGAAUGAUUUCCCGUACCUAUUCCCUAUUCAUGACUACAUCGCUGAUGAGGACCCCAAUUCUGAGCAUAAGGACCCAGAUGUAUAGCUCAUGUUCCUGCUGAGUGUUCAAAGUGAUUACAUUUUUUUGGUUUCAUUUUCUGUUCCAGAUUGACUGUGUUUAGAUAGGAAAGGUCUAAAACUCAGCAACCCAAAGAAAGGUUGCUUACCAUGGAUGAAAUGUCAGGCACCAGAAAUAGGUACUUUGUUUGUUAAAAUGUAUGUUUACAAAUAAUCAUGUAAUGCUUAUACCCUUAAAUAUUUCCAGAAGAAGCUUAGCUUCUUGAGAGGGGAAUGUGAUAGAAAGAUGACAUAUUUACCUGAUUUGUUGGAUAUUUAACAAUUAUUUACUUAACAAACAGUAAGAUAUUUCUGUCCUGCUAAUGCUGUGUUUUAUGGUCUCCAGUCUAGCACCCUGCAGCUAAUCUGGGCGUAUGGUUUACUAGAGAUAGCUUGAGCUGAAAAUUGAUUGACUUGGUGAUACACUUUACAGCUGGAAUUCCAGUGACAGGAUGUGGGGUGGUUGUAACUGGGAUAGAGAGGAGUAGAACAAAGGCUUCAAUGGUUCUUAGACAUUCUGGCAUCUGGGAAAUUUGGCCAGGGUUGGGGGUUAAGAUAACACCAGGUGCCAAUAAAGACAGGAUGAGCCCAAGGUGGCCCUAAAGUAGUUAGUUCAGAUUGUUUUAAUAUUAUUCAUCUUUGUGUAAUUUAAAAUCGAUUAAUCAAUCAAUGUUCAUGCAGAAACAUGAAUGUUAAAACAAACUAUUCUAAAAAGCUACCUGCAACAAAGCAUGCUCGGAAAUAUGAUAAUGAGGCCACUCCCAUGUGUUUUUUUUCAAUCUGAGAGAGUUAAAUAUGCAGUGUGCUGUGUGUAGGGCCAUGGAUUUGUACUGUUAUGGCAAUUACACUGGCUCUGUUACAACAGGAAAACUCAAUCAAGUGCAGCUGAAGUAUUUGAAAGAAUGCAAAUACUAUUUGAACCCAAGUCUGGUUGUGUGUAUGUGUGAAGGAGGGUGGUAUGUGGGCUUUAGCCUUUCUAGUGUGCUGCAGAAUUAGGAUGCUGAAAAUAAAUAAUGAAG
rnacentral:lncRNA from 1 species